GUCGGUCUCCAGGUCGUUCUCCAGGUCGAUCUCCAGGACGUUUUCCAGGUCUCCAGGUCAUUCCCCAGGUCUCCAGGUCGGUCUCCAGGUCGUUCCCCAGGUCGGUCUCCAGGUCAUUCCCCAGGUCGGUCUCC